UGGGGAAUCUUGCGCAAUGGGGGAAACCCUGACGCAGCGACGCCGCGUGCGGGAUGAAGGCCUUCGGGUUGUAAACCGCUUUCAGCAGGGACGAGGCCUACAAGGUGACGGUACCUGCAGAAGAAGCUCCGGCUAAAUACGUGCCAGCAGCCGCGGUAAUACGUAUGGAGCAAGCGUUAUCCGGAUUCAUUGGGCGUAAAGCGCUCGUAGGCGGUCUGUUAGGUCGGUAAGUUAAAUCCGGGGGCUCAACCCCCGUCCGCUUCCGAUACCGGCAGACUUGAGUUUGGUAGGGGAAGGUGGAAUUCCUAGUGUAGCGGUGGAAUGCGCAGAUAUUAGGAAGAACACCGGUGGCGAAGGCGGCCUUCUGGGCCAUAACUGACGCUGAGGAGCGAAAGCUAGGGGAGCGAACAGGAUUAGAUACCCUGGUAGU
rnacentral:rRNA from 1 species